rnacentral:lncRNA from 1 species
UGAACUCAACGAUUGAUCUAAGAACUUCAGCAUUUCCGGGUUUCAUGGCCAGACAGGCAAGGAUUCUAGUAUUUUCAAAUUAAUCUUUGUUUAUUUUUACAUUUUCCCGAUAUCAGAAAUUUUGUCUGAAUACUUUCUAGUAUCGAGGAAGAUGUUAUUCAGUCUCUUUAUGCAUUCAAGAAUCUCACAUGACUGCUAAUAAUGAUCAUGCAAUCUAGUAUUUUGAAAAGUUUUCACGAAGGAUUCUGACUGGAUUUGAAUAUAUGAAUUAUUUUUGGGAAAAACAGGUCUGCAUGGUGAUGAGGAUCAAUCUUGAUUGCAAUUCUUGUUGCAGAAAAGUGAGAAGAGUCCUUCUCAAAAUGAAAGGUAACUAAAGUCGUGUUAAUGAAUAAUUUCUUUUGAUUGCCGACUACUAACUCGAAAUUCAUCUGUUCUUUUCAUUUCAUUGACUGAAGAAAUUGAGACACACUUGAUAGAGAAGCAGGAAUGCAUGGUAAGUAUCUGUGGAAGGUUUAUUCCAGCAGAUGUAGCGAUCAAAAUAAGGAAAAAGAUGAAGCGCAGAGUCGAGAUUCUGGAAAUUCAAGAAUUCAGCAAUGUCAGUGUAUAGAGCAAAUGCCGCCACACAUUCCAGGCCAUAUUCUAACAUAGCGUGCGUAGAAUUUUCUGAACUUUAAGUCCAAUUUAACAUAUUAAAACUUGCGCGUAUAUUCCAAAACAGAAUGACAGAAACAGAUACCGGUCCAUUAGUUUCCAAAAAUGUAGUUGUAAAAAUAUUUGAUUCUGUGCACUGCAGUAUAUAAAUAGAUCAAUCCAUUACAUAUUA